rnacentral:rRNA from 1 species
GAUGAACGCUGGCGGCGUGCCUAAUACAUGCAAGUCGAGCGAACGGACGAGAAGCUUGCUUCUCUGAUGUUAGCGGCGGACGGGUGAGUAGCACGUGGAUAACCUACCUAUAAGACUGGGAUAACUUCGGGAAACCGGAGCUAAUACCGGAUAAUAUUUUGAACCGCAUGGUUCAAAAGUGAAAGACGGUCUUGCUGUUACUUAUAGAUGGAUCCGCGCUGCAUUAGCUAGUUGGUAAGGUAACGGCUUACCAAGGCAACGAUGCAUAGCCGACCUGAGAGGGUGAUCGGCCACACUGGAACUGAGACACGGUCCAGACUCCUACGGGAGGCAGCAGUAGGGAAUCUUCCGCAAUGGGCGAAAGCCUGACGGAGCAACGCCGCGUGAGUGAUGAAGGUCUUCGGAUCGUAAAACUCUGUUAUUAGGGAAGAACAUAUGUGUAAGUAACUGUGCACAUCUUGACGGUACCUAAUCAGAAAGCCACGGCUAACUACGUG